rnacentral:ncRNA from 1 species
GAUGAUAGAGGCGCGGAUUUCAAUAGUACCCGACCGGAGGAUGAUUAGAUUCUUUGAAAGUCGGUGAAAGGGGAAGCCGCCGAAGUUGCAAGUUUGCUAAUUCCAACUUGCUGCUGGUUCUACAUUGAAGAAAUGUAGAAUUGUCAGAGUCGAAAAUAGAUUCUGGAGGGCUAUCU